rnacentral:rRNA from 1 species
UAGGGAAUAUUGCGCAAUGGGCGAAAGCCUGACGCAGCCAUGCCGCGUGGAUGAUGAAGGCCUUCGGGUCGUAAAGUCCUUUUCUGAGGGAAGAACUGCCGGGGGAGGAAAUGCCCUUGGCUUGACGGUACCUCAGGAAUAAGCAACGGCUAACUCCGUGCCAGCAGCCGCGGUAAUACGGAGGUUGCAAGCGUUGUUCGGAAUGACUGGGCGUAAAGGGAGCGCAGGCGGCCAAGUCAGUCUGAAGUGAAAGCCCGGGGCUUAACCCCGGAAUAGCUUUGGAUACUGCCUGGCUUGAGUGUGCGAUAGGAAAGCGGAAUUCCAGGUGUAGCGGUGAAAUGCGUAGAUAUCUGGAGGAACACCGGUGGCGAAAGCGGCUUUCUGGCGCAUAACUGACGCUGAGGCUCGAAAGCGUGGGGAGCGAACGG